GAGAAGGGAAGGAAGCCCAUGUGAGGACACUGAAGAAGGAGUGAGCAGACAAUAAGAAGCCCACAGAAGACAGAGAAGGAAAAACUAGAGGGAGAAGCCAAGGCAGUUUCUCCACAGACACUACCCAAAGCAGUCCUUCACUACAGUGGCAGACAGACCUGAAAAUUUUCAUCUGAAGCAGCAGAGUGAACUGCAGAGUCAGGUCACCAACCAGUGUGGAGGCUAACAGCAGGCCUCUUUGGGGAUUCCAGGAACAAAGAUCACCACAACUGGCUCCCCUUCAACUGUGUUAGAUGGCAGCUUGCCUUCAGUACGGUGAAACACAUUAGUUAAGACUGGGAUUGUGCAUGGCAGGACUUUCUACAAGGACACCCAGUCUCCUUAAUAAACAAGAGAUGCUCUCUUUCCAGAAGUUCUCUUGCCUGACACAGCAUAGGAAGAUGCUGAACGGCCACACAGUGAUCCAUUGAGAUAGACUCUCACUAUGUUGACCAGGCUGGUCUUGAACUCUUGGCACCCGAGCGAUCCUUUUGCCUGGAAUCCCAAAGUGUCAGAUUUACUGAAGAAUAUUUCAUUGUAAUUACUUUUUAUACUUUAUAGGUCAAGAGCUCUGUUUUAAAGACAAAAUUUAUUGAAUAUGCUUUUUCAAACAAA
rnacentral:lncRNA from 1 species